rnacentral:piRNA from 1 species
UGGAUGUUAGGCCUACCCAGGUGA